rnacentral:rRNA from 1 species
UGGGGAAUAUUGGACAAUGGGGGCAACCCUGAUCCAGCAAUGCCGCGUGUGUGAAGAAGGCCUGCGGGUUGUAAAGCACUUUAGGUAACGAGGAAGGUUUUGGCGUUAAUAGCGCUGAGAAUUGACGUUAGUUACAGAAUAAGCACCGGCUAACUCUGUGCCAGCAGCCGCGGUAAUACAGAGGGUGCAAGCGUUAAUCGGAAUGACUGGGCGUAAAGGGUGCGUAGGUGGCUGAUUAAGUUGGAUGUGAAAUCCCCGGGCUUAACCUGGGAACUGCAUACAAUACUGAUUGGCUAGAGUGUGGGAGAGGUAAGUGGAAUUUCCGGUGUAGCGGUGAAAUGCGUAGAUAUCGGAAGGAACACCAGUGGCGAAGGCGGCUUACUGGCCUAACACUGACACUGAGGCACGAAAGCGUGGGGAGCAAACAGG